rnacentral:rRNA from 1 species
UACGUAGGGUGCAAGCGUUGUCCGGAAUUAUUGGGCGUAAAGAGCUCGUAGGCGGUUCGUCGCGUCGGCUGUGAAAUCCCGAGGCUCAACUCCGGGCCUGCAGUCGAUACGGGCAGACUGGAGUUCGGCAGGGGAGACUGGAAUUCCUGGUGUAGCGGUGAAAUGCGCAGAUAUCAGGAGGAACACCGGUGGCGAAGGCGGGGUCUCUGGGGCCGAUACUGACGCUGAGGAGCGAAAGCGUGGGGAGCGAACAGG